CCUCGAUAAUCUUCUUUUUAGGGUUUUGCUCGAAUUUGUGUGACAACAUCUUAUCAACUCUCGUUGAUAUGUAAUCAACCCUCGUUGAUAUAGUUCUAAUCAACCCUUGUUGAUCCUCAUCAUGAUCAACUCUCGUUGAUCUAUUACUAAUCAACUCUCCUUGAUCUAUUACUAAUCAACUCUCCUUGAUCAUAAUCAACGUUUGUUGAUCUAUCUAAUCAACCCUCGUUGAUCAACAAUCAGAAGUUGGUGUGCAAUGAAAAAAGGAAGGAUCUUGGUAAUAUCAUGUGAGUUUGGUUUCUAAUUGCAAUUAAUUCUUUGUGAGAUUUUAUUUGUAGCUUUCGUUGAUUAUCCUUGGAAUCUCCUUGUCUGACCGAUGAUCUUCUUGUUAGGGUUUUGCUUGUCAUCGAGAGGUUAAUAUGAGCGUACGGCAAUAAAACAACAUCUUAUCAACUCUCGUUUAAUCUCACCAUCAACUCUCGUUUGAUCUCACCAUCAAUUCUCGUUGAUCUCAUCAUCAACUCUUGUUGAUCCUAAUAAUCAACUCUCGUUGAUCCCAUAUCCUAAUCAACUCUCGUUGAACCCAUAUCCUAAUCAUCUCUCGUUGAUCCUUAUAAUCAACUCUCGUUGUUUUCAUAUCCUAAUCAACUCUCGUUGAUCCUUAUAAUCAACUCUCGUUGAUCCCAUAUAUCAAGAAUCUUGAAUAUAUCUCCAUAUAUUUAAGA